AGCGCUAUAUUUCGAUGUAUUUCUCUGCACCAAAGUCGCCAACACGUGCACCGAUGUAGUACACAACAUGUCACCAGUCAUGGGUUAUUAUCCAGACUCCGAUUGGAAAUACACAAGCGUUAGCUUUAUGUAUUUUACGUAUAUAUCGAUGACUGCACACUCUUCGAUAAUCCCGUAUUAUACAUCGUAGAUUUAUAGCGCUAACUUUAUCAACACAAAGACCUACACAUUACACUAUCCCCCUCCAAAAAUAAAAGGAUUCGUCCUCGAAUGUUACAAUUAAUUAUUAAAAAUACUCACCACCUAAGAUAUUCGUGUCAUAACAAUAAUAUACAAUGUAAGUGAAAUUAAUUAUAAUUAUCAACAUGCUCAUUAAACAAUUCACAUUAUGAUUAUAUACAAUAUGUGCAAUGUAAAUAGAGCAUUUACACAUACUCACCAGAUAUUUCACAUUAUGAUUAAUAUAUACAAUAUGAUGAUGAAGACAAUGAACUGUACAUAGUGAAUCUUGGUUAACAAUAUGCUAAUAAAUUGUGGAAUACAUGUAUAUAUACAAUGAGAAUUUUGAAAGUUCACUAAGUCCAUAAUGUUACAGUCAAUAAAGUUCGCACUUCACAAUCAGUAUUCACUCUAAAGUAUAAGUCUGUUUUGUAGACACUUGUGUGGCCAUAUCCUUUUUAUCAGGGAAGACUUGUUGUUGACAGGCUGGUGAAGUUUGAGAACAGGCUUCCGCGGUCAAGGUGUAUUCAGGGUCAGGUGUGAAAAUACUCUUUAGGCGAUAUACCCGACCAUCAGGAAAAGUAAGCUCCUCCACUUUCGUUAUGGAUGCUGCCCCUGAAGGAACCCAAGAAACAGUGCGUCCGGAUGAUCUCCUUGCCUCAAUGUUGGCUCUUCUCAAUAGACAUGCAACAAAGUCAUUUCUCGUGCUGCUUGGGGCUCCGGCAAAGAACAACCUUGGAUCAUGAGCAUGGGUGGAGGAUACGUCCGUAGGGGAAGUCGUCUCACACUUGUGAAGGACAUACUGUGGAGCUGAGGAGAAAGUGUCCACUGACUUGGGAAGUGAUGUCUCCGGGACAACAGCAGGUCCAGGCUCCAACGUAGCAGUAGGGAGCACUCCCUCAAGCUUCUCUGUGGCUGGAAGCACUUCUAUGGGACAUCGAUGGUCUAACUCGGAAUCCUUCAAAGGAGACAAGUUUGGAAUUUGGGCUUCAAACAAGGAGAGAAUGGCACUGGUUUCAGGAGAGCAAAGCUGGGGUACAGAGGCAGAUUCACUCAUGGCUGUUGCAUCUGGAACCGCAUCAGGGGUUUUCCGCACAACUUUUCGUGGAGGCUCAAAUAUCACUGGCAUCGAUAACAAAGGGCUGGUAACUGUGUCUGGGUCCAACCCGUAUAGGGAUAUGGGUGCCGGGCUGCUCCUUAGGGAUACUGAUAGAGAAGGACUGCGUAAAGGGGUCAGCUCAGGAUGGGUCCCAGUUGAAAGAGUAGGUGGACAGGCUUCCUUUUCUGGCAUGUCUGUUUGCUCUUUUGGUCUUGGCCUGAAAUGAGAUUUCGUCUUGGGUGGACUUUUACUAUUUGUAGUUGACUUUCUGGAGGAAACAGGAGACCGGCAGCGGGAAAUCUGUUUUGGAUGGUACUCUGGAAAUACAGGACUGGGGGAGCGAUUCUCUGUUGCAGAUCUAGAAGUGAAGGAGUAGGAUACCUUCUGUCCUGGAUGACGCCUCUCAAAGUGGUGUGCCAUCAGGUACUUCCUGCUGCCUGGGAGCUCGUAUUGGCAGUGACUGCAUUUAAUGACGUCUCCAUGUAUAUCUUGGAAGUGACGCAUCAUCUGUCUCCUAGUAUGGAUGCCAUGAUGCUACUGCUGUUGGAUGCCAGUAUUUAAUCAAGGGCGUAUUGAUGAACAGGGUUCAAAUAAGGACCAACUCGACUUCUAGUACCCAGAUGACCUGCGGAUGGUAUAUCAUGAUAAUUAUGAAGAACCUCUCUUUGCAGUGACUUAGGAACAAUAAGAAGUUCCCCAAUUCUGCACAAACACGGAAAUGGCAAAUAUAUUCGUCCCAGUCAGCCGUACCAUCAAAGUUCUCUGGCUUGAGAGAAAGAGGACGUUUUAUUGCAUAACCCUGUGAUGAGGCUGGAGCAAGAAACUUGUUCAAAUAUUCAUCUUGACCACAUAUAGUAUGUGUGUCAUCAUCAUCACCCUGGCCUAUGUGUGCAUCAGGACAAAAACCCCUCUCCUGUCUGCUAUCAUCCUGGACUGCAGGAUUAAACUGCACUUCUAAAUCUGGCGAGUCAGUCAUAAUGUUGUAAAAUAAAUUCUUGAAUAAUGUUUGUGUCAGUCAUUUGUAUAUAGGAUAGAUUUAAAAAAAAAUUUGACCAAUAAAUUCUGAAAGAUCCGGAGUUAGAUCAA